rnacentral:rRNA from 1 species
GGGAAUAUUGGAAAAUGGGCGCAAGCCUGAUCCAGCCAUGCCGCGUUAGUGAAGAAGGCCCUCGGGUUGUAAAGCUCUUUUGUCCGGAAAGAAAAGCAUCGGGUUAAUACCCCGGUGUUCUGACGGUACCGGAAGAAUAAGCACCGGCUAACUUCGUGCCAGCAGCCGCGGUAAUACGAAGGGUGCAAGCGUUACUCGGAAUUACUGGGCGUAAAGCGUGCGUAGGUGGUUCGUUAAGUCUGAUGUGAAAGCCCUGGGCUCAACCUGGGAAUGGCAUUGGAAACUGGCGGACUGGAGUGCGGCAGAGGGUAGCGGAAUUCCCGGUGUAGCAGUGAAAUGCGUAGAGAUCGGGAGGAACAUCCGUGGCGAAGGCGGCUACCUGGACCAGCACUGACACUGAGGCACGAAAGCGUGGGGAGCAAACA